GCGGGAAUAGCUCAGUUGGUAGAGCACGACCUUGCCAAGGUCGGGGUCGCGAGUUCGAGUCUCAUUUCCCGCUCCA
rnacentral:tRNA from 3 species